rnacentral:rRNA from 1 species
GGUGACGGCAAGCAAAUCUCUUAAAGCCAGUCUCAGUUCGGAUUGUAGGCUGCAACUCGCCUACAUGAAGUCGGAAUCGCUAGUAAUCGCGGAUCAGCACGCCGCGGUGAAUACGUUCCCGGGCCUUGUACACACCGCCCGUCACACCACGAGAGUUUGUAACACCCGAAGUCGGUGAGGUAACCUAUUAGGAGCCAGCCGCCUAAGGUGGGAUAGAUGAUUGGGGUGAAGUCGUAACAAGGUAUC